GAAUUAAAGUUAAAGUUAAAAUUAAGUUGAUUUUAACUUACAAACCAAACAUGCUUAAAAUUUUUAGAAGUCUGUCAGAAAGGAAAAGAGAAAGCAAUCCUCUCAUUUAUAUCACCACUCUCUGUUUCUCUCUCUCUCUCUACCUCUAUCUUCCAUCCCAGCCCACCUCCCUCCGCCGUCUCUGAACUCCUCCACAGUCCAAAGUCCAUCCCAUCAGAAUGAAUUGCAAGACAGAACAAUCAGGAACUAAAAGCUCUUUAAGAGGGAAAAAUCCCAACUAUCAACCGCGACACCAUGAAUUUCGGAGCGUGGGACCUAAAAGAUGAAGAGUUCAACGUUUAGGCGUUCGAAGGGUGGACUUUGCCGGUAGUAAGCAUAAAGCAACUUUAGCUUAACCAUAAAGGAUUUCUCAAGCUUUUUUUAUAUUUUUAUUUUUAUUUGUUUAAAAAUAUGUAAGAACAGUUGCAAGAGUAGUGUACAAUUGCGAAAUGAUAUUGGUGUUCUUGUUCUUCCUCUAUCUUCCAUUUUUUUUUACCCAUCCAUAAAAAUUAAUAUCAAAAUCUAGAGGUUAAAGUUGCUUGGGCCAAAUCUUACUGGAAAGUUUUCAUCAAAAUUAAUCUUUAUAUGCGUUUUGGUAGAAUCACGCGAUCCCACUUUCAGCUCCGGCUAGUUAAAUCUCUUACAAGAUCGAUUUUGUCAGGCUUGUUAGGACACAGUCCCAAGGAUUGGUUGCGAAACCACUAACCAAUCUCACCAAGCUAGAACGCAACUUCAUGGCUUGGAAGUUUGUAAAUUUAGUCGGCAUCUGGGUUUAGGAGAGAUGUCGUGGAAGAUGAUAGACGAUGACAGUCAGACGAUUACGCUGCUCAAGGAUUUGGCCGCUAGAAUUCUCCCUAAGUCAAGUGCUAACGAUAGGAUGAUGUUGAGAGACGGUUAGAAGUCGGUCUUCAAAUCGAGUAGCUCACAACUUGGAUUGGCUUGUGAGGAGUCUGACAUGACUUGUCGGCCUGAUUAGUUGAAAGUUGCGUGAAGAGCUGGGUCUCGGCUAGAUCAGCUGAAAAUAGUGAGCUUUAGCUGGGACCUUAGCUCAUGGAUGGCCUUUUCAAUCGAGAACCGAGGUGGAUAGAAGGAUAAGCCGACGGAUCAGUAGGAUUGCCUUAGAGACGGCAGGUGGUCAGCCAGCCCUUAGAUCUAUCUCAGUCAUUGCCUCAGUGGGAUAAACUAUGGAGAGAGAUCAGAGAUGGCGGAGGGAGGUGGCUAGAUGGAAGAUAGAGGGAGGGAGGGAGGGAGCGGGGUAGAGAGAGAGAGAGAGAGAGAGAGAGAGAGAGAGGUGAUAUAAAUGAGAUGAUUGCUUUCUCUCAUCUUCAGGCGGACAGGGAAAGUUUCUGAUGGACUUCUAAUUUUUUUUUAAAUUUGUGAAACAAAGGAGCCUCGUUAACUCUUUACACAGAGCUCCGUUAAUUACUGAAGGGGUCCGCUGACAUCAAUAAUAUUUCCGCAUGUCAAUUUGUUAUCGAAAGGUGCUGCCACGUGGUGAUGCUGAUGUGGUAAGCCGAUGGCCUGAGAUACUUUCUCCCUCCCAGCACGAUUGUACAUGUAUAUGUACAUGUACAUAUAUAUAUAUAUAUAGAACAUAUAUACACAUAUUCGUACAUAUUGUGUGUAUAUAUAUAUAUAUGUACAAAUAUUACACCGAGGUACCCAUUCUAUGACAAACUUACCCUCUAUUUUUGUGCCUUUAGGAUGCCUAAUAUUUCCGGCAAUUGCGAUGGCUUCUUUAUUUCUUCAUGUUAAAAAAAACAAGAUUGUUUAGAUGCGAUGGGUCCUCAUCUAUUUUUUUAAGACUUAGAUACAGAUAACAUAGAUAUCUAUUUAAUAAAAUAUAGUGUAACGUUUCCACCUCCACUUUCUUCUUAAUGACCUCAUUGUUGGAAGAAUUAGACUUCAGAAUUGCAAGCUCCUUUGUGGUAAUGCGAAGAGUGGACAAGACCUGAGCCUUGUCCAAAGGUGCAGCCUGCUGUUCAGACUUGGCCGCGGCAAGGAGUUCCUCUAACUGCUUCGCCUCUGUAUUGGCCUUCUCUUCUCUCUUCUUAGCUGCUUUCAAAGCAUUUGCUCCAUCCCUGGCCAUUUGUAAAUGAACUUCUAGUUCCUUUGAAAAUUCAAGGCUUUUGGCAAACUGGCUGGAAGCAUUCUUGUCGGCAGGGAGAACCUCUGCAGCUAGAGGAUAUACAUUGCGGAGAUAGACUCUGAUGCCAGGGGCCAGGUUAAGAAGCGAGGCCAAGGUAGAGGCCGAUUUUUUCAAUAGGCUGAGACCGACACUUGCAGGCACCUGAUUCAAAGGGACCUUGCAGAAGCUGCGUAUCUCGGCCUUAGCUCUCUCGAUUUCCUCGACAUCAGGGAUAACUGGUGCAUAAUUAGUAGUAGCAUCCACAACAGGUGUCAUUGUCAAAUCCUCCACUUGGGCUAGUAGAUCCUGCUUGUCGAGGGACUCAAAGGCAAGGACAGGAUCACAAGUUAAAUACAAGAAUGCAAAAAGUUAAGAGGAGCGAAAAUGGGGAAAGAUAGCAAAGAACAAGGGAUGGCAGCGGUUGGAGUGACUGCUUCGACUUGGCCAGCUGAACUGUCAGCUUCAGUCACAACAGACCCCACUGCAGGGGGGUCCUGAUGACUUAGCCAGAAGCUCCUCUUUCAAUCUAGCCUCUUCUUCCUGAUGAGCCUUUUCGACUCUCCUCUCCUCAGUCAUGAUUUCCUCCCAAGAAGGCUACAAAGGGUUGUGCACUGGAGACUCGGGUAUGGAUCGCGGCCUUUAGUUCGGCAUCAAAAGUUACAGGUGAUUUAUGGGUCGCAUUUCUAAAAUGCAUGCAUGAAAUUGGCUCAGAUAUUGCUACCGGGUAGAAGUUAGGUUGAACAUGCGUGAACUAUGAUUAAGCCCAUAAUUGCAAUAGCCAUAGGGGACCCAAAGGUUUACCAAACAUGCCCUGAGGAGCUACAGCGACGUCCUGGCAACCCUAUAUACCAAUGCUAGGACAUAGGGAGCAAGAGCGACUUUGCGGCCGGACGCCAGCAGCUUGGCCAAUGGUAGCAAUUCCCUUAUCAAGGAACCACUGGCUGGAAGAUGUAUAAAUCCCGUAAGUAGAUGCCAUAAGAAGGCGGUAUGCUCUUGCUUUGAAGGAAUCAUGUCAUUUUUCAUCUCCAACCCGAUAAAGUCUACAUAAGUCUUGUAGGCAUGGCAUGCAUUAAAGUUCAAGUCUUCAUCCUCUUCAGCUGAGAGUUCCAAUGACUGAGAGGGAUCUAAGGGCCGACCAAUCACCUGCAAUCCAGUUAAGCUGCAGAAGUCGAGUAAAGUCAUCGUUAUAGGACCUUAUGGCAUGAUAAAACAAUUCACGGUGCUAUGCCAGAAUGAUAGAAGGGCGGGAAGAAGAGCCAAAUCCAUAGUGGGAACAUUGCAAGUCAGGAGAAUGAACGAGUGGAUCUCUAAAUCUCGCCAUAGAGGGCCGUAAUGCUCUUCCAAUUGGAGUACGAGUUCGGCCAAAACUUCAAGGAAGGCCGAUUAGAAGACCAUUCGGCGAACGAAGCCGUGUUGAUAGAUUGAAGUGGAGAAGGAGAAUACGUUGGAAUUAGCUGGGCCUUAGGCCGAUCUCGAGGCGGCCCCUCUCGAGCGAUUCCCCGCACUCUGAUUGAGCUUGAGGCCCUUUGCGCUCGGUAGGGUUGCUUUGGUGGCUCCGUGGGACACCGAGGGCAUUCUUCAGAGCCAUCUACUUGUAUUGGUGAAGGGUGGCCUGUACCCGAUCCCUUGUCUCCGGUGGGAGGGCCUCGAACAACUCUUUUUCCACUUGAGAAUCUUUUUCAAACGAGGUGGUGAUGAGUGGUGGGGGACGACAGUCUUCCGCCGGCGGUUGGCGAGGAGGACCGUCAUUGCCUGAGGCUUGGCUAUCAAUGGAGGGGGUUGUUGUCGGGGGGUAACUAUGCGUUAGGAUUGCGGAGAGAGCCCCCAACAUCGGGAUGGUUACAUGCAAAAUUAGCCUGACUCCGAGUGAAAACCAUCUUGCUAAACUCUUAGAUUUAAAACUGAGAAAAGCACCAGCCUUACGUGCCGUUUUCCAUAGAAGGCGCCAAUGUUAAGACCACGAAAUUUGGGUCCAAGUCACGAGUGAUUCACAUGCGUUUCAUUGAUGAAGAAACUGGAUUCACAGCCCAUGUUUAGCCUCGAACACCUGUACAAUGGGAGAUACGGGGUGGUGCCCGAUUUCCCCCUCCGACGCUCAAGUCAGCGUGAGCCGUGAAUAUGGUGAAAUGUAAUGAAUUGUUGAUCAACCCUAAAAACAUGUAAAGUGCAUGUAUUUAUCGAGGGUUUGGAGAUAGAUAACGUUACUAUCAUGACGAGAUAUUUGAUAUAUUUCA